rnacentral:rRNA from 1 species
AUUGAACGCUGGCGGCAUGCCUAACACAUGCAAGUCGAACGGCAGCACAGUAAAGAUUUCGGUCUUUAUGGGUGGCGAGUGGCGGACGGGUGAGUAAUGCGUAGGAAUCUGUCCUGGAGAGUAGGAUAACCCGAGGAAACUCGGGCUAAUACUGCAUGAUAUCGAGAGAUCAAAGGCAGGGGACCCUUCGGGGCCUUGCGCUCUAGGAUGAGCCUACGUCGGAUUAGCUAGUUGGUGGGGUAAAGGCCAACCAAGGCGACGAUCCGUAGCUGGUCGGAGAGGAUGGCCAGCUACACUGGGACUGAGGCACGGCCCAGACUCCUACGGGAGGCAGCAGUGGGGAAUCUUGGACAAUGGGGGAAACCCUGAUCCAGCGAUGCCGCGUGUGUGAAGAAGGCCUUCGGGUUGUAAAGCACUUUAGUUGGGGAAGAAAAGUAAUGAGUGAAUAACUGAUUGCUCUGACGGUACCCAAAGAAUAAGCACCGGCUAACUCUGUGCCAGCCGCCGCAGUAA